ensembl:snoRNA
AAGCCAAUCAGUGAAUCUAUUAAUCUGAAUGUGUUUAUGCAAAAAUUUAGGUAAAGCUGGUAAUACUAGUGCCACAAUAUAAUCUUUAAGGACAAUCAAUGUCACUGAAGUUGCUCAGAAUGGUUACAACA